rfam:Bombyx mori DNA, contig: Bm_scaf24_contig16117, strain: p50T/Dazao, build 2, whole genome shotgun sequence.
UUAACUUUAAUUUGUAUGGAGUUGGAAAGUUUGCCUACGUUUGCCGCUAGGGGCGCUGUUCCAACUGUAUACAAAUUUGAGUUA